GAUUCCCCUAGUAACUGCGAGUGAAGCGGGAAAAGCUCAAAUUUAAAAUCUGGUAGUCUUUGGCUGCCCGAGUUGUAAUCUAGAGAAGCAUUAUCUGCGCUGGACUGUGUAUAAGUGUCCUGGAAUGGAUCAUCAUAGAGGGUGAGAAUCCCGUCUUUGACACAGACUCCUAGUGCCUUGUGAUGUGCUCUCAAAGAGUCGAGUUGUUUGGGAAUGCAGCUCUAAAUGGGUGGUAAAUUCCAUCUAAAGCUAAAUAUUGGCGAGAGACCGAUAGCGAACAAGUACCGUGAGGGAAAGAUGAAAAGAACUUUGGAAAGAGAGUUAAACAGUACGUGAAAUUGCUGAAAGGGAAACGCUUGAAGUCAGUCGCGUUGGCUGGGGAUCAACCUUGCUUUUGCUUGGCUUACUUCCCAGUUGACGGGUCAGCAUCAGUUUUGACCAGUGGAUAAAGGCUAGGGGAAUGUGGCACCUCCGGGUGUGUUAUAGCCCUUGGUCAU
rnacentral:rRNA from 1 species